rnacentral:rRNA from 1 species
UAGGGAAUCUUCGGCAAUGGGGGAACCCUGACCGAGCAACGCCGCGUGAGUGAAGAAGGUUUUCGGAUCGUAAAGCUCUGUUGUUAAGGAAGAACGAGUGUGAGAAUGGAAAGUUCAUGCUGUGACGGUACUUAACCAGAAAGGGACGGCUAACUACGUGCCAGCAGCCGCGGUAAUACGUAGGUCCCGAGCGUUGUCCGGAUUUAUUGGGCGUAAAGCGAGCGCAGGCGGUUAGAAAAGUCUGAAGUGAAAGGCAGUGGCUCAACCAUUGUAGGCUUUGGAAACUGGUUAACGUGAGUGCAGAAGGGGAGAGAGGAAUUCCAUGUGUAGCAGUGAAAUGCGUAGAUAUAUGGAGGAACACCGGUGGCGAAGGCGGCUCUCUGGUCUGUAACUGACGCUGAGGCUCGAAAGCGUGGGGAGCGAACAGG